UAAAUUUACUAAACGAUGCCAACCAGUAAUCCGUCUGAGUUCCUUAAAUGACUCGACGGGCGACUUCCGGGAAACCAAAGUUUUUCGGUUCCAGGGGAAGUAUGGUUGCAAAGCUGAAACUUAAAGGAAUUGACGGAAGGGCACCACCAGGAGUGGAGCCUGCGGCUUAAUUUGACUCAACACGGGAAAACUCACCCGGCCCGGACACUGGAAGGAUUGACAGAUUGAGAGCUCUUUCUUGAUUCAGUGGGUGGUGGUGCAUGGCCGUUCUUAGUUGGUGGAGCGAUUUGUCUGGUUAAUUCCGAUAACGAACGAGACUCUAGCCUACUAAAUAGAUCGUCGGCUUACAAACGCCGAUGAGACUUCUUAGAGGGACAGGCGGCGAUUCAGCCGCACGAAACAGAGCAAUAACAGGUCUGUGAUGCCCUUAGAUGUCCGGGGCCGCACGCGCGCUACACUGAAGUGAUCAGCGUGCAUUUUCAGCCUACUCUGCCAAGAGUGGGAAACCCAAUGAACCUUCUUCGUGAUUGGGAUAGGGGAUUGUAAUUAUUCCCCUUGAACGAGGAAUUCCCAGUAAGCGCGAGUCAUAAGCUCGCGUUGAUUACGUCCCUGCCCUUUGUACACACCGCCCGUCGCUACUACCGAUUGAAUGUUUUAGUGAGGUCUUCAGACUGGCCGGUGCAGCUACUCUCGUAGUGGCAGCGCUGUGUUUGGGAAGAUGCCCAAACUUGAACAUUUAGAGGAAGUAAAAGUCGUAACAAGGUUUCCGUACGUGAACCUGCGGAAGGAU
rnacentral:rRNA from 1 species